rnacentral:lncRNA from 1 species
UCAUUAACCAUCACUCCUGUUGACCUGCUGGUGAAUCAGAGCCCUGCCUGUGUCAAGGAAGAGGAAGGAAAAAAGCUGACCAUAGAAUGUAGAUUCAGGGCCCUGGAGAAACCCAGCACCAAGUACUCUGUUAAAUGGUAUAAAAAUGGGACCGAUGGAGACGAGAAGGAGCUGAAAAACGAAACGGGCUCAGUCACAACAACUCUAGAUUUCUCAACGGGCCUGGCGUCUCUGACCUUGACUAAAGCCAGCGUGAGUGAUUCUGGGUUCUACAGAUGUGACUUCGGUAAAAAUGGCCGUGGGAAUGGAACCAGAGUGACGAUCCAGGGUAAACAGCAGCAUUAUCUCCUCUGAUCUGCAUUGUCAGGAUAGUACACUGUGUUCACCACUGACUCACACUUCCCACAUGGUCACUGAAACCCCACAGCUACUUCCUAGCCUAGGACAGGGAGACGCAGUGUUAUCUCAGAGAUAGGCUGUGUGUAAAUUAUGGAGUGUUGUUGUAGCCGUGUGGGGCCCUGGAUGUUAGAGAGACAAGGUGGGUGAGUGUGUGUAGCAGGCG